AAAGAAGAUGAGGGAGGCGCACAGCACCAGGUUAGUUCCUGUAAGCAGACAAAUAGUGUCCUUUCCAGGAAGCAUCAGGAAAGAGAGGAUGGAAGGAGGAAAAAGAAGAGUCAAAGACCUAAGGCUAAGGAGGCCAAGCUGAGGAUGGCUAGUCCAGGAGUACCUGGUCAGUGACGUCAUACACCACGAUGAUGCCAUGAGCCCCCCGGUAGUAGCUGGAAGUGAUGGUCCGGAACCGUUCCUGGCCCGCUGUGUCCCACUAGGAGACAGUAGGCAGAGGAGCAGGUCAGCUGAGGUCCAGAGUCCCAGAGUCCCUUCCCUCCCAAGGUGGAUACCUCUGUACUGGGGAUUUUGGGAAGAGCGACACUCACGAUCUGAAGUUUGAUAGUUUUGCCAUCCAGCUCGAUGGUUCGGAUCUUGAAGUCCACCCCGAUGGUGCUGAUGUAGCUCUCUGUGUACGUGUCAUC